rnacentral:rRNA from 1 species
CCUACGGGAGGCAGCAGUAAGGAAUAUUGGUCAAUGGGCGAAAGCCUGAACCAGCCAUCCAGCGUGCAGGAAGAAGGCCCUAUGGGUUGUAAACUGCUUUUAUCAGGGAAGAAACCUCUGGAUUCACUCCGGAGCUGACGGUACCUGAAGAAUAAGCACCGGCUAACUCCGUGCCAGCAGCCGCGGUAAUACGGAGGGUGCGAGCGUUAUCCGGAAUUACUGGGUUUAAAGGGUGCGUAGGCGGCUUUGUAAGUCAGGAGUGAAAGUUUGCGGCUCAACCGUAAAAUUGCUUCUGAUACUGCAUAGCUAGAAUUAGGAUGAGGUCAGCGGAAUGUGGCAUGUAGCGGUGAAAUGCAUAGAUAUGCCAUAGAACACCAAUUGCGAAGGCAGCUGGCUAGACCUGGAUUGACGCUGAGGCACGAAAGCGUGGGGAGCGAACAGGAUUAGAUACCCUGGUAGUCCACGCCCUAAACGAUGCUUACUCGACGUAUGAGGCUUGACCUUGUGCGUCCAAGGGAAACCGUUAAGUAAGCCACCUGGGGAGUACGACCGCAAGGUUGAAACUCAAAGGAAUUGACGG